rnacentral:rRNA from 1 species
CGCCUUUUGACUUAUCAACAUAAAAGGUCCUGCCUGCCCAGUGACACCUGUUCAACGGCCGCGGUAUUAUGACCGUGCAAAGGUAGCGUAAUCACUUGUCCUUUAAAUAAAGACCGGUAUGAACGGCAAGACGAGAGCCUAACUGUCUCUCCAUAUUAGUCAAUGAAAUUGAUUUUUCCGUGCAAAAGCGGAAAUAUUAUUAUAAGACGAGAAGACCCUGUGGAGCUUUAAGUCAAAAUUAACUAUUUAAUAUAGCAUAACCAAAGACUUUAGGUUGGGGCGACCACGAGGUAUAAUAAAACCCUCAAGAUAAAACCAUAGAGGGACACUUCAAAUAAACAAGAUAUUGAUAUAUUGACCCAAAAAUUGAUCAACGAACCAAGUUACCCCAGGGAUAACAGCGCAAUCCACUCAAAGAGUCCUUAUCGACGAGCGGGUUUACGACCUCGAUGUUGGAUCAGGACCCCCAAAUAAUGUAACAAUUAUUAAAGGUUCGUUUGUUCAACGAUUAAAGUCCU